AUUGAACGCUGGCGGCAUGCCUUACACAUGCAAGUCGAACGGUAACAGGGAGCUUGCUCCGCUGACGAGUGGCGAACGGGUGAGUAAUGUAUCGGAACGUACCAUUCAGUGGGGGAUAACGUAGCGAAAGUUACGCUAAUACCGCAUAUUCUGUGAGCAGGAAAGCAGGGGAUCGCAAGACCUUGCGCUGAUUGAGCGGCCGAUAUCAGAUUAGCUAGUUGGUGAGGUAAAGGCUCACCAAGGCGACGAUCUGUAGCGGGUCUGAGAGGAUGAUCCGCCACACUGGAACUGAGACACGGUCCAGACUCCUACGGGAGGCAGCAGUGGGGAAUUUUGGACAAUGGGGGCAACCCUGAUCCAGCCAUGCCGCGUGAGUGAAGAAGGCCUUCGGGUUGUAAAGCUCUUUCGGCCGGGAAAAAAUCGCAUGGGUUAAUACCCUGUGUGGAUGAUGGUACCGGAAUAAGAAGCACCGGCUAACUACGUG
rnacentral:rRNA from 1 species